AUUGAACGCUGGCGGCAUGCCUUACACAUGCAAGUCGAACGGCAGCACGGGUGCUUGCACCUGGUGGCGAGUGGCGAACGGGUGAGUAAUACAUCGGAACGUACCUUAUCGUGGGGGAUAACGCAGCGAAAGCUGUGCUAAUACCGCAUACGCCCUGAGGGGGAAAGCGGGGGAUCGCAAGACCUCGCGCGAUUAGAGCGGCCGAUGCCUGAUUAGCUUGUUGGUGGGGUAAAAGCCCACCAAGGCGACGAUCAGUAGCUGGUCUGAGAGGACGAUCAGCCAAAGUGGGACUGAGACACGGCCCAGACUCCUACGGGAGGCAGCAGUGGGGAAUUUUGGACAAUGGGGACAACCCUGAUCCAGCAAUGCCGCGUGAGUGAAGAAGGCCUUCGGGUUGUAAAGCUCUUUUGUCAGGGAAGAAACACCGGCUCUAACACAGUCCGGGAAUGACGGUACCUGAAGAAUAAGCACCGGCUAACUACGUGCCAGACGCCGCCGUAA
rnacentral:rRNA from 1 species